rnacentral:rRNA from 1 species
UACGGGGGGGGCAAGCGUUGUUCGGAAUUACUGGGCGUAAAGGGCUCGUAGGUGGCCAACUAAGUCAUACGUGAAAUCCCUCGGCUUAACCGGGGAACUGCGUCUGAUACUGGAUGGCUUGAGUUUGGGAGAGGGACGCGGAAUUCCAGGUGUAGCGGUGAAAUGCGUAGAUAUCUGGAGGAACACCGGUGGCGAAGGCGGCAUCCUGGACCAUUACUGACACUGAGAAGCGAAAGCCAGGGGAGCAAACGGG